UACGUAGGGGGCAAGCGUUGUCCGGAAUCAUUGGGCGUAAAGCGCGUGUAGGCGGCCCGAUAAGUCCGCUGUGAAAGUCCAGGGCUCAACCCUGGGGUGCCGGUGGAUACUGUCGGGCUCGAGUCCGGAAGAGGAGUGUGGAAUUCCUGGUGUAGCGGUGAAAUGCGCAGAUAUCAGGAGGAACACCAAUGGCGAAGGCAGCACUCUGGGACGUGACUGACGCUGAGACGCGAAAGCGUGGGGAGCAAACAGG
rnacentral:rRNA from 1 species